rnacentral:rRNA from 1 species
UACGGAGGAGGCAAGCGUUAUCCGGAAUUAUUGGGCGUAAAGCGUCCGUAGGUGGUUGACCAAGUCUGCUGUCAAAGGGUGGGGCUUAACCUCAUAAAGGCAGUGGAAACUGGUGAGCUAGAGUGCGAUAGGGGUAAGGGGAAUUCCCAGUGUAGCGGUGAAAUGCGUUGAGAUUGGGAAGAACCUCGGUGGCGAAAGCGCCUUGCUGUGCCUGCACUGACACUGAGGGACGAUUGUUACGGGAGCGGCAGGU